rnacentral:rRNA from 1 species
UACGGAGGGGGCUAGCGUUGUUCGGAAUUACUGGGCGUAAAGCGCACGUAGGCGGGUCGCUAAGUCGGGGGUGAAAUCCUGGGGCUCAACCUCAGAACUGCCUUCGAUACUGGCGACCUUGAGUAAGGGAGAGGUGAGUGGAAUUCCCAGUGUAGAGGUGAAAUUCGUAGAUAUUGGGAAGAUCACCAGUGGCGAAGGCGGAUCUCUGGACCGUAACAGACGCUGAGGUGAGAAAGCGUGGGGAGCGAUCAGG